rnacentral:rRNA from 1 species
CCUACGGGUGGCAGCAGUAAGGAAUAUUGGUCAAUGGACGCAAGUCUGAACCAGCCAUGCCGCGUGGAGGAUGAAGGUCCUCUGGAUUGUAAACUUCUUUUAUCUGGGACGAAACACUCCUAUUCUUAGGGGCCUGACGGUACCAGAUGAAUAAGCACCGGCUAACUCCGUGCCAGCAGCCGCGGUAAUACGGAGGGUGCAAGAGUUAUCCGGAUUCACUGGUGUGUAGGUGUGCGUAGGUGUCUGUAGUGAAAUCCCCGAGCUUAACUUGGGAACUGCCGUUGAUACUAUACAUCUUGAAUAUCGUAGAGGUAAGCGGAAUAUGUCAUGUAGCGGUGAAAUGCUUAGAGAUGACAUAGAACACCAAUUGCGAAGGCAGCUUGCUAUGCGAUUAUUGACACUGAGGCACGAAAGCGUGGGUAGCAAACAGGAUUAGAUACCCUAGUAGUC